GUUUGUAGCUUAGUGGUAGAAUACUUGCCUAGUAUGCAUGAGGCACUGGGUUCAACCCUCAACACAAAAUA
rnacentral:tRNA from 1 species